rnacentral:rRNA from 1 species
GUGAUCGCCGUGAUGGGUGUUGUGUGAGUACGGGGGGGGCUAGGGUUGGCUGGAAUCACUGGGCGUAGAGGGCGUGGGGGCGUGCGGUUAAGUCUGUGGGGAAAUCCCCGCGCUCAACGAGGGAACGGCGUCGGAGACUGGCAGGAUGGAGUACCGGAGAGGAAGGUGGAAUUCUCGGUGUAGCGGUGAAAUGCGUAGAUAUCGGGAGGAACACCGGUGGCGAAGGCGGCCUUCUGGACGGAUACUGACGCUGAGACGCGAAAGCGUGGGGAGCAAACAGGAUUAGAUACCCUAGUAGUC